ensembl:ncRNA lncRNA:CR44492 long non-coding RNA:CR44492
ACUUCGCCGAAGCAAGACGGUAUAUAUCAGAUCCUUAAAGGGACAAAAUACCCAAGUGCGCCUCCACGAGAAGGAAUCAAUAAGUUGCCGGAUAUUUUACCAAAAACCCAGCACUAAAGUCAGCGUCAAAAGAAAAUGGUGAAAUAAAAAGAAAAGGACUUCGAUGAGCCAUGGUAGGAGUAAGCAGAUCAAGGACCAGGGAAGAAACCAUCAUGAUUUAUUUACUUUUGAAUGUCUUUCAUGGCAGACUCUUGACCCCUACCUGCGGUUCGAUUGGAGGCCUCCGCACACAUUUCCCCGAGUAUUUUAUUGGCUACGUGCAACUGCGCAAACAAAUUUACAUGACACUGAACUGAAAGGUGCUUACCCACCUGCUCCCCCGACUCCUCCAACUCUCCGCCCACCCGGAUUCAUCUUUGAAGCAUGUUGGAACCCCUCAAACAUUAUUGAAAGAUUGAUGAAAGUUGCGGCCCAGGACUUUUUUUUUGGCUUUCUCGUUUUCUAACUAUCAAGUGAGCAGCCCAAACGGAAAAAUUCCUGUCAAGAUAAAUGACUUGAGUUUCUUUUUUUUACGUACGUAUGUUAUACGAGU